rnacentral:rRNA from 1 species
AGCGAACGCUGGCGGCAGGCUUAACACAUGCAAGUCGAGCGGGCAUAGCAAUAUGUCAGCGGCAGACGGGUGAGUAACGCGUGGGAACGUACCUUUUGGUUCGGAACAACACAGGGAAACUUGUGCUAAUACCGGAUAAGCCCUUACGGGGAAAGAUUUAUCGCUGAAAGAUCGGCCCGCGUAAGAUUAGGUAGUUGGUAGGGUAAUGGCCUACCAAGCCUACGAUCUUUAGCUGGUCUGAGAGGAUGAUCAGCCACACUGGAACUGAGACACGGUCCAGACUCCUACGGGAGGCAGCAGUGGGGAAUAUUGGACAAUGGGCGCAAGCCUGAUCCAGCCAUGCCGCGUGAGUGACGAAGGCCUUAGGGUUGUAAAGCUCUUUUAUCAGGGACGAUGAUGACGGUACCUGAAGAAUAAGACACGGCUAACUUCGUGCCAGCAGCCGCAGUAA